rnacentral:rRNA from 1 species
AGUGAACGCUGGCGGUAGGCCUAACACAUGCAAGUCGAACGGCAGCACAGGAGAGCUUGCUUUCUGGGUGGCGAGUGGCGGACGUGUGAGGAAUACAUCGGAAUCUACUUUUUCGUGGGGGAUAACGUAGGGAAACUUACGCUAAUACCGCAUACGACCUACGGGUGAAAGCAGGGGAUCUUCGGACCUUGCGCGAUUGAAUGAGCCGAUGUCGGAUUAGCUAGUUGGCGGGGUAAAGGCCCACCAAGGCGACGAUCCGUAGCUGGUCUGAGAGAAUGAUAAGCGCAAUUGGAACUGAGAAAGGGUCCAGACUCCUCCGGGAGUGAGCAGUGGGGAAUGUUGGACAAUGGGCGCAAGCCUUAUCCAGCCAUGCCGCGUGGGUGAAGAAGGCGUUCGGGUUGUAAAGCCUUUUUGUUGGGAAAGAAAUCCAGCUGGUUAAUACCCGGUUGGGAUGACGGUACCCAAAGAAUAAGCACCGGCUAACUUCGUGCCAGCAGCCGCCGUAA